UACGUAGGGGGCAAGCGUUGUCCGGAUUUAUUGGGCGUAAAGAGCUCGUAGGCGGUUUGGUAAGUCUGGUGUGAAAUCUCCACGCUCAACGUGGAGGGGGCCACCCGAUACUGCCAUGACUGGAGUCCGGUAGAGGAGUGUGGAAUUCCCGGUGUAGCGGUGAAAUGCGCAGAUAUCGGGAGGAACACCGGUGGCGAAGGCGGGUCUCUGGGCAGUAACUGACGCUGAGGAGCGAAAGCGUGGGGAGCGAACAGG
rnacentral:rRNA from 1 species